GGAGGGAGCAAGCGUUGUUCGGAUUUACUGGGCGUAAAGGGCGUCUAGGCGGUUUGGAAAGUCGGAUGUGAAAUCCCUCGGGCUUAACCGGGGGGAACUGCAUUCGAAACUUCCUGACUAGAGUACGGCAAAGGUGAGCGGAAUUCUCAGUGUAGCGGUGGAAUGCGUAGAUAUUGAGAAGAACACCAGUGGCGAAGGCGGCUCACUCGGCUGCUACUGACGCUGAAGCGCGAAAGCCAGGGGAGCGAACGGGAUUAGAUACCCCGGUAGUCCUGGCUGUAAACGAUGUGCACUGGGUGUAGGAGGUAUCGACCCCUCCUGUGCCGGAGUUAACGCAUUAAGUGCACCGCCUGGGGAGUACGGCCGCAAAGGCUG
rnacentral:rRNA from 1 species